UGUCGCCUGAUCGAAGGCGGUAAAGAUCACAAAUAGUAUUUGUGACUUCCCCGGUCUUCAUAGCUCAGUUUCAUAGUGGGGGUGUACUUACCAACAGAAAUAAUUGAAGCAGCAUGAAAACAAUCGAAACUGCAGGCGCUAGAUUUUGGUACAACAGAAACGUUCGAAGAACUCAGCUAGUCCAGAAGCAUCAGUGGAAGAGAAAACAGUCAACGUUUUGGUUCAGCGACUCUUCCUCGCAACUGGGGGGAAAAUGUGGCCUCACGGUACUGUGGUGGUGGGAUAGUCCUACACAAGAGAGGAGAGAGAAGAGUGGAGUAGAUUUAGAUCUCGAGUAGCUGAAUCACUUUUCUUCAGAAUGGAGAGACAUAAGCACAAAGAAUCUAUUAAGAAGCAGUGUAUCAUACACCGGAAAACAUCAAAAGAAGAUGAUGACCAUUUAGUUAGUCCUUGAGACUAUGAAUCCUGGAAAACAUUACUUGAAGCAGCCAAAGUGAGAAACUAUGCCCCUAUUUUAGAUGUUGCUAAAAAAAACUUGGAGAAAGAGAAGUCCCAAGAAUCUACUAUCACCGAAGAUGCAGAAGCCUCUUCACCAUGAAGAGAGACUGAGAUACUCUGAAAAGGAAAGUCAAGGAAAGCAUUACUGAUGAAGCUGGUGAGAAUCCCUGUACAUCAAAAAGGCCAAGUAGGAGAUCUUCAUCCAAAGCAGGAGAUAUGAUCAAAUCUGCAUUUUUUGUAAUAAGGUGAAAUUUCUGAAGGGCUCCAUGUCAUGUAAAAAGCUUUUGGGGGCUAGGGUAACAUUUUCUGCUGUACUGAUGUUAAUAUGGAAUAUAUACAAAAAGUGAUUACUUAUUUGAAUUCCUGAAUAAA